AUGAAGAAACGGAUUAAAACUGCGUCCAGGGGCCUAGAGCUGAGGACUCUACCCAUCCUGCGUACGUGGAAACUACGCCUCCUUCUUCACUCUCUGGAGGAAGUCGGCUUCCCCGAUGGAACCAAGAUAUUCCUGCUAGGGGCUAAACAUGUACACGCACUGCCAUAGGACAAAAUGCUCUAUUAAAUAUCUCCUGUCAUGUCCAGAAAUGCCUUUUCUAUGUAAAUACACCUUACCAACGUUUGUCAGAUUAUUUUCACACCUCCAACCACAGACCCACAGUGAGAAGAGUAGAAGAUGGUCCCCAGUGAUCCUUGGCUGCUGGUAUUUAUAUUCUUGCAUAGUCCCCUCCCCUUGCGUGUGGGCCCGAGUCCUACUUCUAAUCAAUAAGAAUAGAGCAAAGGUGAUGGAAUAUCAUUUCUGUGAUUAUAUUAUGUAAGUUGGUAACUUCUAUCUGGCAAGCCAACUCUCCCUCGCGGGCUUUGAGGACGCAAAGCGCCACGUUGCAGAGAUCUCUGUGGCGAAAUGCUGAGAACAGCCUUUGGCCAACAGCCCGGUCGGAACUAAUUCUUUUAAUCCAACAGCCCGAAAGAAAUUGAACGAUGCCGACAACCGCAUAAGUGACCUUUGAAGUAACUCCUUCCCAAUCGAACCUUCGGAUGAGAUGAACUUUCAGGUAAUACGAGAUCGAGAUUGCAGCCUUGUGAGAGAUCCUGAAGCAGGGGACUCAGCUAAGGUGUGUCCAUAUUCCUAACCCACAGACAAGAGAUAAUAGAUAUAAAUAUGUAUUGUUUAAACUGCUAGGUUGGUGGGCAUUUGUUAUGCAGCAAUGGGUAACUAAAGCAGACAGAUGCAAACACACAAGACACUAUUUGGUUAUAUAUAUAUCCAUAUAUAUGGAUAAACGAUAUCCCCUUUAUCCAUUCAUCCAUUGAUGGACACUUAGUUUGUUCCCGUAUCUUGGCUAUUGUGAAUAAUGUUGCAAUAAAUACAAGAGUGCAUCUCUUCA
rnacentral:lncRNA from 1 species